rnacentral:snRNA from 1 species
AGAUGUCAGGGCCAUCUGGCUGUGACCUCUGUCACCCCAUUGAUCACCAGGAUUGAUUUGGCUGACCUGGCUGGCUGGCGGGCAUCCCCUUCCUCCCUCACUGCUCCACGCGUGUGCCUCCGAGAGCUGUGUGCUCAGUUGAAGAGGAUGACCUUCCCCUCUUUGGUCAAGGGUGUAUGAGUAGCUCUGUGCUCCCCUCUAGCUGUGCUAGAACCUCCACAUGAGCGCUCAGGGUCCAUUUGUAGGAGAAUCCUAUGGACAGAGGAGCCUGAAGGGCUGCAGUCCAUGGGGUUGCAAAGAGUCAGACACAACUGAGCAACUUGGCACACACACACAGGGUAGUCAAGCUUCCAAGACUCAAGACAGCCAAGUGAGGCGUUAUGUAUGGCAGGCUGCCUUUUUUU